AAAAUGAAAAUUUUUUGAGCCAUUCUCAGAGCUUUCCCUCCUCUCAGCUUUCCCUUUUUUCUCUUUCCCUCCAUUUAGCUUUCCCUCUCAGUUUUCUCCUUCAGCUCUUUCUCUCUCGAUCACAAAUCACCGUCAUCUAGCCAUUCUUCACUGUGCAUUGACAAGAUUUAGUCCAUAUGACAAACCCCUCUCGAUGGUCUAACAUAAAUUAGGGUUCUCCAUCCCUAGGGUUUACCUCCCCUAUUCCAAAUCACCUUCUUCCACCCAUAAACCCAAACCGUUAAAGACAAAAGGAAUAUAAUCAUUCGCUGAUCUUCAGAGAGAGAGAGCCACACCUCGACGUGAUGACCGAGGAGGCGAAACCCAAGAAGCACACGACUAAGGAUAUAGCGGCGAAGAUCGACGCCACCACUACCAACCGUGAGGACGGUAAGGCGGGCUUGGUGGACCGGUCUGGUGUGGAGAAAGGCAGGCACUUGAAAUUCGAGUGCCCGCUCUGCAAAGUCACAAUGGCUGACGUGAAAUCGAUGCAGAUUCAUCACAAGGCGCGUCACCCUAAGAUCCCCUUUGAGGAGAACAAGGUCGUCAACCUUCACGUCAUAAUCGCCAACGAAUCAUCGAAGCCGCUUCCAGGCAUUCGCGAAAGCCACAAUAAAUGAUCAUAAUCGGUCAUUAUCAUCGCAUAUGUUAUAGUCCCUUCACGCUCUGUUUUUUGUUUUAAUUUUUCUUUCCUUUUAUCUGUCUAAGUUAAAGUCUUCUAAGGUGGUGUUCAGUAUUGCGAGACGAGGGUAUGCUUAGAUUUUGGAAAGAAGAUACUCUUUACAUUUUUAACUUAGUCGUAUUUUUGGGAAGACUUAAGCUCUAACCAUGUCAUCUUCAAAUGACCAUUAACCAGGUAGUAAAUGUUGUAUUUUCUCUUUGUUAAUAUUUCUUGUUCCACUUUUCAAUAUUUUAUUUGGUAUAUUAUUGCUUCAUAAUUACUGGAAGGGAUGACUUUACCCUUGAUGAUGACAAGUUUACAUGAAUCUCAACCACUGUCUUGGCUUUUGAAUAAUGAUAAUCAUCAUUUUUUGUUACCAAAUGACUUUUGAAUAAUUUUACUGAUAAGAAUUGCAUAAGAUAACCUUUGCUGUCGUGUUAUAGUUUGAGAGCAUUAGUUACGGUUAUUGCUUGUGUUUAUGUUAUGAUUUGUUGUGAGUGAUUUUGAACUGACUUUGUGAGUUAAUUUGGGAGAAGACUAUUUUAGAUGUGGGGACUGAAAGUGGAAUUCUUGCUAUAUGGUCAGCUCAAGCAGGCGUGAGGAAGGUGUAUGCAGUGGAAGCGAUGAAGAUGUCAGAACAUGCCCGUGCACUAGUCAAAGCAAAUAAUCUCCAGAAUGUAGUUGAGGUCAUCGAGGGAUCAAUGGAGGAUGUUACCUUGCCUGAGAAAGGGAGAAAAAAAAAGUAUAUGGGUUUAUAGCCCUGAGGUGAAAAAGGACGAUGGAAACUUCCCAAGUUGUUUUGUCUAGUGAGAAGACCAACAGAGGCUCAUGCAUAUUAUUGAGAAUAAAUAGAUCAUUGGAAACUUAUCAAGAAAAGAGAAAGUAGCUGAGUUUAGAGCACUAAAGUGGAUGUGUAAGUAAUGAGGAAGAUCUAGUUUGUUGGAGAUAGUUGGCGUUGCAUCUAUUGAGGAGAAGGUGAUGCGAACUUUCCCAAGAUCUAGUUUGAUGACUUUGUUACUAACCCUGUUGUGAAUGUGUGAUUUUGGUAGUUGAUCAGGAUCUAUCCGUGUGUGAUUUAUAAAAUUAUCUAUUAACUAUGGGACACAAAUUUUGGCCUUUCAUUUUAUGUUAUAGGAAAAGCUUUUAUUUUAAAUUAUUUUGGCUGUUAGAUUUAUUCUGAACAUGAGGUUUUUGGAAGUUUUAUCAAGAUAUAUCGAAGCCAAAAAGCUCAAGAAUGUCUAAGUCAGAUGUUGCAAAUUGAUGGAAGGUUUUCCAGAGCUCGUCAUUUGCAUGGCCUCUUGUUCCAUGCAAUGGGACAACAUAGGAAGGCGAUCAAUGAUUUGUCAAUGGGUUUGAGCGUUGAUUGCCCCAAUGUUGAGUGCUUAUAUUUUCGAGCUUCAUGCUACCAUACUCUUGGACAAUACAAAUAGGUGGUAAAGUUGUACUCUUAACUUUUUGGGAGAAAUAUUGAUUCACAUUUGCCACUCAGCAACUUCAUUUAUGAUCUCAGGUCAAGGAUUAUGAUGCUGCUCUAGAUUUGGAAUUGGACUCAAUGGAUAAGUUUGUGCUUGAGUGCUCUCUACCAAUGUAAUAAGGACAAGAGAAAAAGCAAUAUGUGGUGAAGUUCCUAUCACGGUGGUGGAGUUCAAUGACAAGAUCAACUCCAAGAUGGUGAUUAUUAGGAAACUAUAGACUUGUCAUUCUAUGUUGUAGAAUUUAUAUUAUUUGACGUCUUGAUGGUGAUUAUUAGGAAACUAUAGACUUGUCAUUCUAUGUUGUAGAAUUUAUAUUAUUUGACGUCUUAGGAACAGUACAAUCAAUUUAUGAUAUUAGGCAUCUUGUAAACUUA